rnacentral:rRNA from 1 species
GACGAACGCUGGCGGCGUGCUUAACACAUGCAAGUCGAACGGAAAGGCCCUGCUUGCAGGGUACUCGAGUGGCGAACGGGUGAGUAACACGUGGGUGAUCUGCCCUGCACUUCGGGAUAAGCUUGGGAAACUGGGUCUAAUACCGGAUAGGAACCAUCUUUAGUGUGGUGGUUGGAAAGUUUUUUCGGUGUAGGAUGAGCUCGCGGCCUAUCAGCUUGUUGGUGGGGUAAUGGCCUACCAAGGCGGCGACGGGUAGCCGGCCUGAGAGGGUGUACGGCCACAUUGGGACUGAGAUACGGCCCAGACUCCUACGGGAGGCAGCAAUGGGGAAGAUUGCACAAUGGGCGCAAGCCUGAUGCAGCGACGCCGCGUGGGGGAUGAAGGCCUUCGGGUUGUAAACUCCUUUCGCUAGGGACGAAGCUUUGUUGUGACGGUACCUAGAUAAGAAGCACCGGCUAACUACGUG